UCUGGAACUGGGUACCACACACUGUGAUGUAGCGUCUGCCACAAAAACAUGGAAUCCAGCUAUUUGGAUAUAGCCUUCUGAGAUGGCCAUCCAGCUUAUCAAGCUAUAGAUAUGAGACAAGAUUCUGCCCUCUAAGCAGCAGCGCAAUACUCACCAGCACUACAGGCCCGAGCUACUAACAUACAACAAAUUCUGCGCCACAUGUUAAGAGAGGUUGCCUCUUUAAACACGUCCUGGUCAAGUGUUGGAGUCUCUGCUGACAAAAGCAAGCUGAAGAAAGAAGCUUGAGAGCAAGGUUAAGUUACAGCUCUGCACAGAAUCAUGAGCAGUUUUUCAGCCACACACGGCUGAUGAAAGAUCAGCUGAACAAAGGGCUGCAUAACACUAGUCGUCCGGGACACACCUGCCACUCUGGACAGCAAAUACUGAAGCAUACUAACAGAACCCAAGACUGCGCGGGAUGAGGGGAAGACACAGCAACAAGCUCUAACUACCAUCCGAUAGCCCCACUGAAGAUUGAUUUCCAAAUGAUUAGUCCCAGAUAGCAUUUUAACCCAUCUGAACAUGUCAUUUGGUCGUUAUAUACAUUGACAGUACCUUACCUACGGAAAUAUUUACAGUAGACGGUGAUUUAUAACGUUGCCUGUCCACAGAAUGUAUGGGAUGAGCAUGUAACACCAGCAAACAACUAGCAAGAGACGAGGCUUAGCAAACUUGACAAAAUGCCUUUGAAUAUUUUGCUUAUGCGUGGAAACCAACAUUAAAGGGAAGAUGACGCAACUCAAGUUUAGCUAUUACCUUUAGCUCUCUAAAGACAUCACUAAAGAGGAGGAUGCAUCCCUCUCCACCCCCAGAGCACCGAGAUCCAAGGGCAGCAGUUGCUAUCUGACAGUUCUGGAAAGCACUGGCAGGGAGACCAGCCUUGGUGGUUACCUGUGUCAUCUUAGUUAAUGAGGAUUAUACCAUAGUCACUGGCAGGGCAAGACUUAACUACUGAGGUUGCUACUUUGCCUGUACUAAUUGGUCCAUUUCAGACAAAAGUAAGGUUUUUCACAUUUCCUUGGUUAAUAUAGGCUAUAUUUACUGCACUACUGAAGGCACACCUCUCUGUCCCCAGACUUUAAAUAUUCAACCCUGAAUAGUAAUUUUCAGCCACUGCUAGGGAUACAAGACUGCCUCAGGAUGCCUACCUGCUGCUGGAAGAUAAACCCUUUUCUCCAAGUUAGUGCUACGCUGUUGCAGUGGUGUUAGGUAUGCAGAAUCGUUAAGUGAGAAGUUUCUCAUUUAAAGUUUCCAUGUGAAGACUUAGCCUCCUCAAAAAAAAAAAAAAAAUCACCUAUACCAGUAGGAAAGCUGCUGACAGAACAUCAUCCUACCACUGCUCACCUCGAGGUUUUAGAAAUGCGUGCUAUACAUUCAAGUGAACGAGAGGAGUGGAAUUCUCAUUUCUUGCUGCUGAACAUGCCGCAAUAAAUGAAUUCUUGUCAAGUGUGAGUGCUGUAUGCAUAGGUAAAAUGCAGCACAGCAGAACAACACAGAACAUACAUUCAUAAGCCUCAUCUGUGGGUACCACAUUUUACUCCUUUUCAUGCUGAAGAACUAGAGCAUUCAAAGCUGUUCACUUGUAAUACAUGAAUGAGAUUAUUAGCUAUAGAAACUAUCACUAAACGUUAUUUUCUUGAGGGCUGGUAAAAAAAGAGAGAAGUAGCUUAGACUCAAAUUUAGGGAAGGGCUCCUGCCAUAUUAGCCACAUACUUUGUCGUGUUUUUUUGUUGUUGUUAAGAUGGGAGGGGUAAGAAGAUGAACAGAGCUCAAGCUGCCGCCAACAGUACAGCACUGUAAAGUUUAGAAGACAGUCAGAUACUAUCACUGAUUCUUCACUACAUCUUUGUUCUAUUCCUGUGAAUUCUGAAGUUGACUUGGGAUGCAGAAACAACUCAUUAGGUGAGAGGAUGAUACCCAUCCCAGCUCCACAGCCUUCCAAUGGGAGGAGCUGCAGACCAUUCCAUAUACAAAAACAUGUAGAACAAGGACAUACACCAUGAGGUUUUAGAAUCAGGGACAUACAUUCACCACCAUUAAGAAAAAUCCCUGCAUUGCUAAGCUAUUCCCAUCCAGUAUUUCCAUACUUCAAUUAAAACUUAAAAUUACAGUGUAAAUGCAUUUCUACAAAUUAUGUAAUACAUAAUUACGAUUCUUAUGAUCCAAGAUUAUAUUUUUAAUUGAUCUGUUGAAAAUGGAUUACAGGCAAAGACAAAUCUCUCCUGUGAAAACCUCUCUCUGGAAACAUCAGUCUCAGAUUCAGUGCACUGUUAAUACAGCCUAAGGUCUGUGUUCUCAACACAACCCUGUCUGGUGGAAGGACACCAACAGCUCUGCAGGAAGGAAGGGAGCAUGGGAAGAGAACUAGGAAGAGACAGGGUCAAGACAGUAUUGAAAGAGGAAUGGUACCUUCUUAACUUUAAAACAGAGGAACUAGGUAGUUUUCCUCUAAGGAAGCAUGGUCUAGCAGGCAUGUUUAUGUGCUCUUAAGAUUUAGCAGAAAUGAUAAACUCCACACAUGGUACAAGACUUGUUUUCUAAACUGAUAUAAAAAUUCAGGCAGACCUUCUGUCGAAGUUACUGCAACAAUGAAGUCUCCAAGUGUAAAACUGAGGUUAAGGGAAUUUUUUUUUCAGUAUGUGGCAGACUAGUUCCAUGCCUAUUUUGCUUGCACAAUUAUAACCUGAGAAAUUUAUGCUGCAGUCUGUAUGCAAGCUUCUACUAUACUCAUACUGUCGGCUUCUUAAAAGUUUUUCCAAGUAAAAACAGUCCAUGAAAGCUCCUCAAAUGGACAAGGCAUUUAUAUUUCUUCCAGUUUACUUACUGGAAACUGUCUGAAGUGAUAAUUAAUUAGGCCAGGAGUGUAACGAUAUCAGAUUAUCACCAGGAAAAGAUUCACUGUAUUUUUUUCCCUACAAGUUGAGUAUAUUUGAAUAUCUGCUAUACCGAAGUAGAAGAGGGCAGUUUGAUUCUGUACAGAAUGGUAAUCUAAGCCCUGUUUCACAGCCAGCAAAGUUAACAUCCUUUUACAAAACAGUUGAAGAAUAAUCUC